rnacentral:rRNA from 1 species
CCUGGCUGAUCCUACCAGUAGUCAUAUGCUUGUCUCAAAGAUUAAGCCAUGCAUGUGUAAGUAUGAACUAAUUCAAACUGUGAAACCGCGAAUGGCUCAUUAAAUCAGUUAUAGUUUGUUUGAUGGUACUUGCUACUCGGAUAACUGUAGUAAUUCUAGAGCUAAUACAUGCAACAAACCCCGACUUCUGGAAGGGACGCAUUUAUUAGAUAAAAGGUCAACACGAACCUAGUUUGUUGCUCUGAUGAUUCAUGAUAACUUGACGGAUCACGGCCUUUGUGCUGACGACGCAUCAUUCAAAUUUCUACCCUAUCAACUUUCAAUGGUAGGAUAGUGGCGUACUAUGGUGGUGACGGGUGACGGAGAAUUAGGGUUCGAUUCUGGAGAGGGAGCCUGAGAAACGGCUACCACAUCCAAGAAAUGCAGCACGUGCGCAAAUUAUCCAAUCCUGACACGGCUAGGUAGUGACAAUAAAUAACAAUACCGGGCUCUUCGAGUGUGGUAACUGGAAUGAGUACAAUCUAAAUCCCUUAACGAGGAUCCAUUGGAGGGAAAGUCUGAUGCCAGCAGCCACAGUAAUUCUAGCUCCAAUAGCGUAUAUUUAAGUUGUUGUAGUUAAAAAGCUCGUAGUUGGAUCUCGGGAUAUGUUUGUCGGUCCGCCUUAUGGUGUGCACCGUCAGUCGCGUCCUUUCUACCGGCCAUGCGUUCCUAGCCUUAAUUGGCCAGGUCCUUCCUCCGGUGCUAUUACUUUGAAGAAAUUAGAGUGCUGAAAGCAAGCUUUCGCUCUGUAUACAUUAGCAUGGGAUAACGUCAUAAGAUUUCGAUCUUAUUCUGUUGGCCUUCGGGAUCUAAGUAAUGAUUAACAGGGACAGUUGGGGGCAUUCCUAUUUCAUAGUCAGGUGACAUUCUUGGAUUUAUGAAAGACGAACAACUACGAAAGCAUUUGCCAAGGAUGCUUUCACUAAUCAAGAACGGAAGUUGGGGGCUCGAAGACGAUCAGAUACCAUCCUAGUCUCAACCAUAAACGAUGCCGACUAGGGAUCGGCGAAUGUUGCUUAUAGGACAUCGUCGGCACCUUAUGAGAAAUCAAAGUCUUUGGGUUCCGGGGGGAGUAUGGUCGCAAGGCUGAAACUUAAAAGAAUUGACGGAAGGGCACCACCAGGAGUAGAGCCUGGGGCUUAAUUUGACUCAACACGGGGAAACUUACUAGGUCCAGACAUAGUAAGGAUUGACAGAUUCAGAGCUCUUUCUUUUUUUGUUGUUAAGUAAAGUAUAUUAACAAGCACAUUUAUAUGUUUAAGUUCAAAAAGGCAAUGGAAUAAGAAGGCAAAUGCCAACAGACCGCGCCCAGCGGAACCAACAAAAUUUAGCCCCUAAAGAUCGAUCUCAGAUUGUCCCUGAAUCAUGACCCAAGGACAGAAGGAGAUCAGCCCGAACACAAAUAGUUUUACAUAAGCGGAUAACCUUGGCACAAAUAAAGGCUCAAACCUGGACAAUUCAUUAGGAAAGGACCAAUAGAGUUGCUUGAACACCUGUUUCUCUAUCUGCCUUGCAAUUUGCAACGCGGAGGAGAAUGCAUUCUCGUAUUUCUGCGCGUUUUGAGCCACCCAUAUGUAAUAUAUCGACGUCGCCAAGAGCAUUUGCGAGACUCGAGCUUGACGGCAGAGUUUUUGCUUGUUGAGCUUGAUGCACCACUUGAAGGAACUGGC